CCGUUCGCUGACUCGGAGAUUGCCGAAGAUGGCGGAAGCUCACCCAAGCCGUGGCCUUCCAGUUCACUGUCACCCCAGACGGUAUCGACCUGCGGCUGAGCCAUGAAGCUCUUAAGCAAAUCUAUCUGUCUGGACUACAUUCCUGGAAGAAGAAGUUCAUCAGAUUCAAGAAUGGCAUCAUCACUGGCGUGUACCCGGCGAGCCCCUCCAGUUGGCUCAUCGUGGUGGUGGGUGUGAUGUCAACCAUGUAUGCCAAGAUCGACCCCUCGCUGGAAUAAUUGCAA